rnacentral:rRNA from 1 species
UACGGGGGGAGCAAGCGUUGUUCGGAUUUACUGGGCGUAAAGGGCGCGUAGGCGGCCUCCGAAAGUCGACUGUGAAAUCUCCGGGCUUAACCCGGAACGGUCAGCCGAUACUGCAGGGCUAGAGUGCAGAAGGGGCAACCGGAAUUCUCGGUGUAGCGGUGAAAUGCGUAGAUAUCGAGAGGAACACCUGCGGCGAAGGCGGGUUGCUGGGCUGACACUGACGCUGAGGCGCGAAAGCUAGGGGAGCGAACGGG